rnacentral:rRNA from 1 species
GACGAACGCUGGCGGCGUGCUUAACACAUGCAAGUCGAACGGAAAGGCCCCUUUGGGGGUACUCGAGUGGCGAACGGGUGCGUAACACGUGAGUAACCUGCCCUUGACUUCGGGAUAACUUCAGGAAACUGGGGCUAAUACCGGAUAGGAAUCCUUGCUGCAUGGUGGGGGUUGGAAAGCUUCGGCGGUUUUGGAUGGACUCGCGGCUUAUCAGCUUGUUGGUGGGGUAGUGGCUUACCAAGGCUUUGACGGGUAGCCGGCCUGAGAGGGCGACCGGCCACAUUGGGACUGAGAUACGGCCCAGACUCCGACGGGAGGCAGCAGUGGGGAAUAUUGAACAAUGGGCGGAAGCCUGAUGCAGCAACGCCGCGUGCGGGAUGACGGCCUUCGGGUUGUAAACCGCUUUCAGCAGGGGCGAAGCUUGUGGUGACGGUACCUGCAGAAGAAGCACCGGCUAACUACGUG